UACAGAGGGUGCGAGCGUUGUCCGGAAUCACUGGGCGUAAAGGGCGCGUAGGCGGUGACUUAAGCGUGUGGUGAAAGCUCGGGGCUCAACCCCGAGUCGGCCGUGCGAACUGGGUCACUGGAGCAUGUCAGAGGCAGGCGGAAUUCCGGGUGUAGCGGUGGAAUGCGUAGAGAUCCGGAAGAACACCGGUGGCGAAGGCGGCCUGCUGGGCAGUUGCUGACACUGAGGCGCGACAGCGUGGGGAGCAAACAGG
rnacentral:rRNA from 1 species